rnacentral:rRNA from 1 species
UGCAGUCGAGCGGACAGAUGGGAGCUUGCUCCCUGAUGUUAGCGGCGGACGGGUGAGUAACACGUGGGUAACCUGCCUGUAAGACUGGGAUAACUCCGGGAAACCGGGGCUAAUACCGGAUGGUUGUCUGAACCGCAUGGUUCAGACAUAAAAGGUGGCUUCGGCUACCACUUACAGAUGGACCCGCGGCGCAUUAGCUAGUUGGUGAGGUAACGGCUCACCAAGGCGACGAUGCGUAGCCGACCUGAGAGGGUGAUCGGCCACACUGGGACUGAGACACGGCCCAGACUCCUACGGGAGGCAGCAGUAGGGAAUCUUCCGCAAUGGACGAAAGUCUGACGGAGCAACGCCGCGUGAGUGAUGAAGGUUUUCGGAUCGUAAAGCUCUGUUGUUAGGGAAGAACAAGUGCCGUUCAAAUAGGGCGGCACCUUGACGGUACCUAACCAGAAAGCCACGGCUAACUACGUGCCAGCAGCCGCGGUAAUACGUAGGUGGCAAGCGUUGUCCGGAAUUAUUGGGCGUAAAGGGCUCGCAGGCGGUUUCUUAAGUCUGAUGUGAAAGCCCCCGGCUCAACCGGGGAGGGUCAUUGGAAACUGGGGAACUUGAGUGCAGAAGAGGAGAGUGGAAUUCCACGUGUAGCGGUGAAAUGCGUAGAGAUGUGGAGGAACACCAGUGGCGAAGGCGACUCUCUGGUCUGUAACUGACGCUGAGGAGCGAAAGCGUGGGGAGCGAACAGGAUUAGAUACCCUGGUAGUCCACGCCGUAAACGAUGAGUGCUAAGUGUUAGGGGGUUUCCGCCCCUUAGUGCUGCAGCUAACGCAUUAAGCACUCCGCCUGGGGAGUACGGUCGCAAGACUGAAACUCAAAGGAAUUGACGGGGGCCCGCACAAGCGGUGGAGCAUGUGGUUUAAUUCGAAGCAACGCGAAGAACCUUACCAGGUCUUGACAUCCUCUGACAAUCCUAGAGAUAGGACGUCCCCUUCGGGGGCAGAGUGACAGGUGGUGCAUGGUUG